GGACCAGUUCCAUUCACGAUUCAAAAGUGAAGAUUAAGCCUAAAAGAGUGGAGGAUCGAUCGCAAUCUUCUCGAAGACGCAGUUAAGAAAUUUAGUGAAGGAAUUGAUCGCAGACAUCGUUACAGUGGCGUGCAAUAUUGUGUUGACAGGUAUUUACAUAACAGUGUUCCUCCUUCUCAUCGGAAUGGAAACACUUCAGCCAUCUGGUGGCCUUUUGUCCACGGAAAAGUCAGAAAGGCACAUUUCAUAGUCCCAUCAAGAACGUAAGUUAAUGAAAAGUGACUUUUCCUCCUAAUAUUUACGACAAUGACACAUUACUUGGCAAAGAGGAAAGUAUUAUGGUUUCUUUCUUUAUUUAUGUCAAUGGCUAAAUCUUGGACAUGUGCCAUAGUCAUGCCAUGAUCCGUGCCAUAGUCUGCCAUGAUGGUCAUGAAUUAUCAUGUCGACUAUAAAUUCAACUUCAUCAGAAGCCAUCAUCAUCCGUUACUUCUUAUGAGGAAAAACUUAUAGAACGAAGAAGGGCUUGAAACAACUCCUUACGGCAUCUGUGGUUAAAUUCUCUGUGGGUACGCUUCAAGUUCCCUCUUGGACGAUUCGCAUAUCUCAAAUUCAUAUUCGUUGUAUUGAGUGUGUAAGUUUGAUAAAUGGUUUACUCUCCAACAUAUUUUAGACAUGAAUUUUAUAAUCGUGUUACUUCGAAAGAGUUGUUUUAAAAUCUAAUCAUUAACCGAAAAAUUUCGUCUUAAGGAUGCCACUAAACAGCGGGCCACUGACGGGCCGUGCUUGUUAUUUCAAUAUCCAGCAAAGCUUAAAUGACUACGGG